GUGUAUUUAUUAGAUAAAAAACCAAUGCCCUUCGGGGCUCCUUGGUGAUUCAUGAUAACUUAACGAAUCGCAUGGCCUUGCGCCGGCGAUGGUUCAUUCAAAUUUCUGCCCUAUCAACUUUCGAUGGUAGGAUAGUGGCCUACCAUGGUUUUAACGGGUAACGGGGAAUUAGG
rnacentral:rRNA from 1 species